CUGGUGUCAGCCGCCGCGGUAAUACCAGCACCUCGAGUGGUCAGGACGUUUAUUGGGCCUAAAGCAUCCGUAGCCGGCUCUGCAAGUCUUCGGUUAAAUCCACCUGCUCAACAGAUGGGCUGCUGGAGAUACUACAGAGCUAGGGAGUGGGAGAGGCAGACGGUAUUCAGUGGGUAGGGGUAAAAUCCUCUGAUCCAUUGAGGACCACCAGUGGCGAAGGCGGUCUGCCAGAACACGUUCGACGGUGAGGGAUGAAAGCUAGGGGAGCAAACCGGAUUAGAUACCCGGGUAGUCCCAGCUGUAAACGAUGCAAACUCGGUGAUGCAUUGGCUUAUGGCCAAUGCAGUGCCGCAGGGAAGCCGUUAAGUUUGCCGCCUGGGAAGUACGGACGCAAGUCUGAAACUUAAAGGAAUUGGCGGGGGAGCACCACAAGGGGUGAAGCCUGCGGUUCAAUUGGAGUCAACGCCAGGAAUCUUACCCGGGGAGACAGCAGAAUGAAGGUCAAGCUGAAGACUUUACCAGACAAGCU
rnacentral:rRNA from 2 species